rnacentral:rRNA from 1 species
UGGGGAAUUUUGCACAAUGGGGGAAACCCUGAUGCAGCGACGCCGCGCGAUUUAGAAGGCCUUCGGGUUGUAAAAAUCUUUUCUAUGGGAAGAAAAUGACAGUACCAUAGGAAUAAGGACCGGCUAAUUACGUGCCAGCAGCCGCGGUAAUACGUAAGGUUCGAGCGUUGUCCGGAAUCAUUGGGCGUAAAGGGUACGUAGGCGGGUAAGCAAGUUAGAAGUGAAAUCCUAUAGCUCAACUAUAGUAAGCUUUUAAAACUGCUCAUCUUGAGGUAUGGAAGGGAAAGUGGAAUUCCUAGUGUAGCGGUGAAAUGCGCAGAUAUUAGGAGGAAUACCGGUGGCGAAGGCGACUUUCUGGCCAUAACCUGACGCUGAGGUACGAAAGCGUGGGUAGCAAACAGG